UUUUGUGCAAUUUUCUUGAAAAAAGAAGGUAUUUCGGAAAAAUUCAACUUCCUUUCAUUUUAUCUUUGGCUUUUUUAUAAAACUUCUAGAUUGGAUAUAUGACAAACUUAGUUGAUUUGUGAAAAGAAUUAAUUUAAUUAUUCAUAUUUUAGCAAUUUAUGUAAUUUUAGCCAAAAAUAGAGAUUUAGGCCAAAACUAAAUUGCUAAAAUAUAAAAAUAACCAAAAUCACUUGUAUAAUGAUGAAAAAGUGAUGGAUUUGUGAAAUUUUGGAAAUAAUGGUGAAUUAAUUUUUAUUAUUUAUUAUUUUUGGUAAUCUUUUAUUUUUAGCCUAAAAAUAAGAAUUAGGCCAACAUAAAAUUACAAAAGAUAAUAAAAUAACUAAAAUUAAAGUGGGAAUUGGUCUUCUGGUAGUUCUGAAGUUGUAGAAUUUUUUGAAAUUUAAGGUGAAUUAAUUCAAAUUAUUUACGAUUUCGAGCAAUUUUUGGUAUUUAGCCUAAAAAUAGGAAUUAGGCCUAAAUGAAAUUACUAACACUAAUAAAAUAAUCAAAAUUAAUAUGAAGAAUGAUUUUCUGGUGUUUCUAAAAUUUUUGAAAUUUUAAGUGAAUUAAUUUUAAUUAUUCACUAUUUCUAGCAAUUCUUGAUAUUAAGCCUAAAAAAUAGAAACUAGGUUAAAAUAAAAUCACUAAAAAUUAACCAAAAUUAAUAUGGAGAAUGAUUUUCUAAUGGUUCUGAAAUUUUUUUGAGGCUUGAUUGAUAUUUUUCGAGUACCAUCUAAUUUUGUCAUAAAAAUGACUGUAAAUAAAAAAUCAAGUAAGAAUUUAACUUUAAAAUUCUUCAGUCAUGAACUUGGAUUGAAUUAUGUAGAAUAUGAAUGAUAAUGAUUUUGCUUAAUGGUUUUGGUGUUUAAAAAUGGUUGAAAUUAAUAUUUAGCACUUAUGAUUUUCUAAUGGUUCUGAAAAUUUUUGAGGCUUGAUCGAUAUUUUUCGAGUACCAUCUAAUUUUGUUAUAAAAAUGACUGCAAAUAAAAAAUAAAGGAAGAAUUUAACUUUAAAAUUCUUCAGUCAUGAAUUUGGAUUGAAUUAGGUAGAAUAUGAACUAUAAUGAUUUCACUUAAUGGUUUUGGUGUUUAGAAAUGGAUGAAAUUAAUAUUUAGCACUUAUGAUUUCAGUCUGGUUGCUGAGUAAUCUCAGCUUAUAUUUAAUGGGCAUGGUUUUUUUAUGAAAGUGAUUAGAGAAUGAUAUUGCAGAAUGAUUUUUAAUUUGAAAAGGUUUAGAAAUAUUGUAAGCACCGGAUUUUUUAAUCUAGAUAUCAAAAAAAUUAUGAAAAACCCAAUGAUGAUUGAUGUUUCUUUUAAGUCUCACAGAGAUGAGGAGCGUCAAAGUUCUAUUUAGCGUCAUGCUCGAUCAAGUCAAACAUUUAUUUUUUUGAAAUAAGAACUAAUAAAUUGGGUCAAAUUGACUAAGAUAGUCAAAAUUGGGUCAAAAUCAAUUGAAUAGUCAAAAUUAGGGACCAAAUCAAAAGUUUUUCAACCAUUGCCAGCUUCUAGAGCCAACAAGGGCUCUACACAAUUUUGGUUGGCUUAAAAUUUGCUUUUUACGGUGAUUUUUAAUAUUUUUGAAUUUAAGACACCCAUAAAUUUUCAAAAUUGAUUUUCUAAAGAUAUUUUUAUCAAUAUUAUCUAAGCUUUUAUUUAUUUUAGUUAUCAUAUGGAUUUUAUGGAUAAUUAUCUUAAGUUUUCAAAACUCUGUAUUUAUCACUUGAAAAUAAUUUUGAUAAAUCCAUUUAAAUAUCUUUAAUUCUUAGAAUUAUUGAUAAUUAAAUGGGGUCCUUAUCCCGGUAUCUAAAAUUUUCCCACUCCUUUAUAAAUAGAAAAAGAAAUCUUAUGCCAGGGGAUUGGAAAUUUAGAGUAUAAAACGGCUAGUAUAUUUUGGCAAAACAAAAAGAGCGUACUGUGAGUUUUAGAACAACACUAAACACUUUGGAUUCCUACUCCAUUUGCAAACCGACCUUUCCUCUUGCUGAGACUCAAGAGACUGUGCAAUAUGGUGACAACCUGAGAGUUUCUCUAUCUCAAUCAUCUCACCAUACUCUUGUCUUUUUAGGGUUUCUGUUCUUUUUAUUGGCUUGAUUACUAUUUUCUUUGAUUUUGAUAUGUCUAGGUUUAGAUAUGAUAUUCUUCCUAUUAUCUUAAUCACAUAAAGCAUGCCUAAAUUUAGAUAUGCAUGUUUAAGGCUUAAAUCUGAUAAGUUCUAGGUUAAUUGAUUAAAAUGAUUUUCCAUGAAUAGAUUUAGUAAGAUGAAACUGUUGUUCAUUUAAAAUGUCUUUUAGGAAAGUUUUCUAUUUUACAUAUGCCAUUUGAUGAAUCUGACUAUUUUUAUUACUCUGUCCGUUUAAUUUCUAGCAUGUUUAGGACUUUAGUUUCCUUAUUUUCUUAUUCUUUGAAUGAUUAAUCAAUCUAGCUUGAUAAAUAGUUAAUUUUCACGUUUGAUUCUAUUUUGGUUGAGAUUACUAUAACUUUUUUAAACUGCCUUUUUCAAACACUUAGAUACAACGUUCUUGUUUUGUAAUUUCUUACAUUAUUUUUCUAUUUCAAUUGUUUUACUAAUUGAUUUUUUCCUUCUUAUAUGUGCGUGAUGGAUGUUUGGGUGUUUCAAAGUAUGGGUUUUGCUAAAAAUCGAGAAGAAUUGUCAAAAAUGAUAAACCUGUAGACCGAAGAACCAUAGAGCCGAUCAGCUCAACAUACAGCUGAUUGACUCUUCAUUUCCUAGCCCGUCCGGUUUUGGCAGUUUCGCCUGUUUUCGCCAUUUUCACCUGUUUUUUUGUUGAUUUUUGUUUUAAGUCAAUACUCAUAGGAGAGAUGUAAUGUUAUUAUUUUCUUACUUUAUUUUGCUUUUUCUUCCUUAUU
rnacentral:lncRNA from 1 species